rnacentral:rRNA from 1 species
UACGUAGGUGGCAAGCGUUGUCCGGAUUUACUGGGCGUAAAGAGCGCGCAGGCGGUCGUUCAAGUCGCGUGUGAAAGCCCCCGGCUCAACUGGGGAGGGUCACGCGAUACUGAUCGACUCGAAGGCAGGAGAGGGUAGUGGAAUUCCCGGUGUAGUGGUGAAAUGCGUAGAUAUCGGGAGGAACACCAGUGGCGAAAGCAGCUUUCUGGGACGGUACUGACGCUGAGACGCGAAAGCGUGGGGAGCGAACAGG